rnacentral:lncRNA from 1 species
GGAAGUUCUUAAGUGUUGCAUUUUUUUCCACUCUAAUUAGUUCAGUUUUCUUCUGUCAUGUUAUUCUGUAUCUACCAAAAAUCCUUAAAUUAAUGAAAAGAAAUCUUCUUGGCAGCUGCAAAAUUCUUCCACCUGUAGACAGACUAUACAUUUCUUUGCUGAGAAAUAUUUAUUACCUCUGAACAGGUAGAAGAUCCUUUUUACUUUAACCAAUUCAGGUAGAAUAUGUAGACCCCAGACAAGUGAUAAGUAAGCAAGAAGGUUUUAGUUAACAUGAACAUUUAAUUAACAUAAAAAUCCAUUCUGCCCAUAUCUCUGUAAUCACUAUAAUCUGACAAGAGGUAAACCUGUUCUCUCAGUGAGGUUCAGCUACUGAAUCACCCAGUGAGAGCUCAUCCCAGUAUAUCCAUAGUCCCAGAAGGGCUCAUUAUGAUACAAAAUUCCUCUGGCACUCUGAAAUGCCCACCCCAAAUAUAUGCUCUCUCUUAUGUUAUUCAUUGUUCUUGCUGCAGUCAAAUAAUUGUUGAUGGUGUCAAAAUGUGUUCCUGUCACCUGUACUGCCCAGAAGUACUGUGACAUAACGCAAGUCAGUUCAGACGUUCUCCUUCUGUGCCAGGCAACCUGAGCGUAACCUGAAAUAAAUGAUUACUCUAUACUCUUCUACCAAAGGCUCCAGAGCUAAAUAAACAAAAAGGAGACAAGGGCAGUCCUGCCCCACAGAAUAUUCAUAUUUUUUUCCUAGCAUCUUUACAAUAUUGAGAUUCAUCACAUAUAUACAGGCAGAACUUUCAGACAUCUCAUACAUCAAGAAGGAUGACCUUUCUUAGGAUGGAUAUGUUAGCCCCUGAGAAGAAAGCACAUGAAGAGAAAGAAGAUUUGCAACAAUAUCAUCAGAAACCUGCAAACUGCAAGAAACUGCUUAGGAAUUGCUGCUUGGUGAAACGAUUUUUUGCCUGGAAAAGUUUGAGCACUAAAGGUACCUUUCCUAUUGAAUUUCUCAGUGUAGGGGAAACUGUUGUCUUCCCAAGAAUUCUUUUUUUUUUUUUAUAGAGGUGCUACUGAAUUUAGCAUCAAUCACAUUACAGGUACAAAAGUCUCUACUGUCUUGGAUCUAUUGUGCACAGAGAUUAGAAAUGGUGCAGCUUUGAUUGAAGGUGCUUUAUCCUAAUGUGACAUAAUUAAUUGUACUGCAUGAGCAUUCUUUUUGCAGCUCAUCAAAAUACAUCAUCUACAGAAAAGACCGGCAGAAAAAAAGAAAUCCUUCAAUCAUAAGCUAAAUGACUAAAUGUAAAAUCACAGUAAUUAAAUUCAUCAGUUUAUUAGGGCUCAGCCCCCAAAGCUGUUUUGAUGUUUAAAAACUGCUUUGAUCAUUGUCAGGGUAUAUUUACAUAGAAAUUACACGAUCAAUUCCUUUGUCUUAGAGGAAAUAGAGAAAGGUAAUUUUUAUACAUAAUGAUGCUGUAUACUGUACUUAUUAAUAAUUAUUAAAAUAAAUGCUUCUAUUUAAAUUGGAACUUGGCUGUG